CGACCAAAUCUCGUUGAAAACCCGGUUCCCAAGAGAUCACCGAAGGUAAGCAACGUCGAGCCUGUUCAAUACCUAGGUGGGUGACUGUUUGGGAAAACCAGAUGCAG